GAUCAAGUGUCUUAAGGGCAAUUGGUGGAUGCCUUGGCAUGCACAGGCGAUGAAGGACGUGAUACGCUGCGAUAAGCUACGGGGAGGUGCGAAUACCCUUUGAUCCGUAGAUCUCCGAAUGGGGAAACCCACCUAAGGUACUUGGAAAAUCAGAGCAGCAGGGCAACUGACGCGACAAUCCCAAAAGGAUUGAGCGUGGGGCGACGAUCUCUUUGGGAUCGCGCUGCUUUUGCUGCUGUGGUUUCCAAGUAUCGAUAAUAGGUAACUUAUCCUGAAUACAUAGGGAUAAAGUGGCGAACGCGGGGAACUGAAACAUCUAAGUACCCGUAGGAAAGGACAUCAACCGAGACUCCGGAAGUAGUGGCGAGCGAACCCGGACCAGGCCAGCGGCGAUUGAGAGACAAGCGGAACCUUCUGGAAAGUUGGGCCAUAGCGGGUGACAGCCCCGUACGCGUAAUGCGAUCAAUCGUCCUUGAGUAAGGCGGGACACGUGAAAUCCUGUCUGAAAUUGGGAGGACCACCUUCCAAGCCUAAGUACUCGUGCAUGACCGAUAGCGAACUAGUACCGUGAGGGAAAGGUGAAAAGCACCCCGACAAGGGGAGUGAAAGAGUACCUGAAACCGAUUGCCUACAAACAGUGGGAGCCCGUCCUUCAAAUCGCUUGACGAUUUGAAGAACUUUUGAUUUUGCCAUCAAGAGCGCAAGCGCUUUGAUGGGCGGGUGACCACGUACCUUUUGUAUAAUGGGUCAGCGACUUAGUGUGACGAGCAAGCUUAAACCGAUAGGUGUAGGCGCAGCGAAAGCGAGUCUGAACAGGGCGUUCAGUUCGUCGCAUUAGACCCGAAACCGAGUGAUCUAGCCAUGAGCAGGCUGAAGGUAAGGUAACACUUACUGGAGGGCCGAACCCAUAACUGUUGCAAUAGUUCGGGAUGACUUGUGGCUAGGGGUGAAAGGCCAAUCAAACUCGGAAAUAGCUGGUUCUCCGCGAAAUCUAUUUAGGUAGAGCGUCGACCGAAUACCCCAGGGGGUAGAGCACUGGAUGGGCUAGGGGUCCUCACCGGAUUACCAAACCUAACCAAACUCCGAAUACCUGGGAGUACUAGUCGGCAGACACACGGCGGGUGCUAACGUCCGUCGUGAAAAGGGAAACAACCCUGACCUACAGCUAAGGUCCCCAAGUUAUGGCUAAGUGGGAAAGGAUGUGAGGAUCCCAAAACAACCAGGAUGUUGGCUUAGAAGCAGCCAUCAUUUAAAGAAAGCGUAACAGCUCACUGGUCUAAAUAAGGGUCUUUGCGCCGAAAAUGUAACGGGGCUAAAGCCAUACACCGAAGCUUAGGGUUCGUGAGCAAUCACGAGCGGUAGCGGAGCGUUCUGUAAGCCAGUGAAGCCGUACCCGUGAGGGGCGGUGGAGGUAUCAGAAGUGCGAAUGCUGACAUGAGUAACGUAAGGGGAGUGAGAGACUCCCCCGCCGAAAGACCAAGGGUUCCUGCUUAAAGUUAAUCUGAGCAGGGUUAGCCGGCCCCUAAGACGAGGCGGAAACGCGUAGUCGAUGGGAAUCACGUUAAUAUUCGUGAGCCUGGAGGUAGUGACGGAUCACACAAGUUGUCCAAUCUUAUCGGAUUGAAAGGGCAGCGGAGUGGUUCCAGGAAAUAGCUCCUCCUUAUAGACCGUACCCGAAACCGACACUGGUGGUCUGGUAGAGUAUACCAAGGCGCUUGAGAGAACUAUGCUGAAGGAACUCGGCAAAUUGCACGCGUAACUUCGGAAGAAGCGUGACCCUUUUUUGCGCAAGCAGAGGAGGGUGGCACAGACCAGGGGGUAGCGACUGUUUAUCAAAAACACAGGGCUCUGCGAAGUCGCAAGACGACGUAUAGGGUCUGACGCCUGCCCGGUGCUGGAAGGUUAAGAGGAGGGGUGCAAGCUCUGAAUCGAAGCCCCAGUAAACGGCGGCCGUAACUAUAACGGUCCUAAGGUAGCGAAAU
rnacentral:rRNA from 1 species